UACGAAGGGGGCUAGCGUUGCUCGGAAUUACUGGGCGUAAAGGGCGCGUAGGCGGAUAGUUUAGUCAGAGGUGAAAGCCCAGGGCUCAGCCUUGGAAUUGCCUUUGAUACUGGCUAUCUUGAGUUCGGGAGAGGUGAGUGGAAUGCCGAGUGUAGAGGUGAAAUUCGUAGAUAUUCGGCGGAACACCAGUGGCGAAGGCGACUCACUGGCCCGAUACUGACGCUGAGGCGCGAAAGCGUGGGGAGCAAACAGG
rnacentral:rRNA from 1 species